rnacentral:rRNA from 1 species
GUCUACAGCCAUACCACUCUGAACAAGCCGAAUCCCAUCUGAUCUUGGAAGCUAAACAGGGUCGGGCCUGGUUAGUAAUUAGAUGGGAGACCACCUAGGAAGACCAGGUGGCGUAAAAA